rnacentral:rRNA from 1 species
AUGGCGCGCGCCGACGGCUCGGGCUACUGCGGCCUCGCCCAGGGUUUCUUGGCUUCCCGGAGCCCUCCGUCCGGUCGAGCCAGGGAUUCUGGGGGCAGGGGGAGGGGGCCCGCGGUGCCGGACGUUGUGGUGAUUAGCUCCGACGAGGAGGAGGAGGGCGACGGAUCUGCCCCCGUGGCCAGGAAGUUGCGUUUUGGUGAUGGAGGGCCGACCGGGGGCUCCAAUCUCGCGUUGGUGAAGAAGGGCAAGUGCGAUGGCGAGGAGGAGGAAGACGGCGAUUGCGUGGUCCUAGACAGCGACCCCGAUGGGCCGGUUGCCAUUGUGAAACAGGAGGGGAGUUCAGGCUUUGAUGGCAGCUUGGAUGAAUUGCUGGUCGUUGCAGAGAAAGGCCAGGUAGCGUGCAGGGACUUCCCUCACUCGCGCCAUCUAUGCUCUAGCUUGCCCUUUGGCACUACUUCUCACGUCAGGCAUUGUACCAUGUGCUACUGUUUUGUAUGCGAUGUUCCAGCUCCAUGCAAAUAUUGGGGUAAAGGUCUCUCGACUGAUGAUCAUUGUCAUGGUACCGAUGACGAAAUGAGCUGGAAAAUACUGAGGCAGACAUUCAGGCUCGGGCGCCUGACAGCAUCUUAUUCAGAAAAAUACCAGAAUGCCGUGCACCCACCAAUGGCGCCAUCCACACAGCAAUAUGUACAUCAUCAAGUCUCAGACCCACAGUCUCAUCCAUCUUCCAUGCCAGUCUUACUGAAUGCAGGGCAAACUGUCGGUGCAGUAAGAGCAUCUCAUUUGACAAGAGCUGAAAGAGGUAGAGGCAAUGCUCACACUGCUUGGGUUACUCGCACCGCCACCCCUUGCCAACAAGAGCCAUACCAGGAGGAAGAAGACGAAGAUUGCACGCCUAAGGUGUACGUAGGGAACCUACACUACGACGUUGUCAGCGAGGACCUCGCCAAGCUCUUUGAGCAAGCCGGUGUUGUUGAGUUCUCAGAGGUUAUUUACAGCCGAGGAACAGGCCAGAGCCGUGGAUAUGGAUUUGUCACCAUGAGUACUGUUGAGGAGGCUGAGCUGGCUGUGGAGAUGUUCGAUGGCUUUAAAUUGUUUGGGAUGCUUCUUAUUGUGCACAAAGCAGCUCUGAGAGGCGCCCGGGUGGAAACUCCUUCCCAUCAAUCCAAGUCUGCAUUCAGAAUCUACGUGGGCAAUCUGCCGUCGCAAGUCGAUGACUCUUGGUUGGAGGAGUUGUUCAGCAAGCAUGGCAAAGUGGUCGAUGCUAGAGUCGUCUACGAGCGCAGAGGGGGAACCUGGAGUUUGCGGGGAUUCGGUUUUGUGACGAUGGCAACAGAGGAGGAAACGUGUGAUGCUGUUUAUGCCCUCAACAAACAGAUUCUGGAGGGGCGUGCUCUGGAGAUUCACUUUGAACCCCUGUAA